rnacentral:rRNA from 1 species
GUGUCAGCCGCCGCGGUAAUACAGAGGUGGCUAGCGUUGUUCGGAAUUACUGGGCGUAAAGGGCGCGUAGGCGGCCCUUCAAGUCCCGCGUGAAAUCCCCCGGCUUAACCGGGGAACUGCGCGGGAAACUGUAGGGCUUGAGAUUGGGAGAGGGAAGCGGAAUUCCGGGUGUAGCGGUGAAAUGCGUAGAUAUCCGGAGGAACACCGGUGGCGAAGGCGGCUUCCUGGACCAACACUGACGCUGAGGCGCGAAAGCUAGGGGAGCAAACGGGAUUAGAUACCCGGGUAGUCC